UGUCUCCUUUGUCAUCAGGUUCUUCUUCUGUUAAAAAUUCUCGUUUUGGGUAAGGGAUCUGACAACCGGCAAAAACACUGAUCAUAAGAAAAAAGAAAAAGAAAAAGGAUUUCCGGUAUACUAACCAGUAUUUCAAAUGCUGUAUGUAAGUGGCUUCUUGCUUUCAUCUUUUAGUCUGGACUCUACCCCUCUAUCUGUGAUGUAAUAAGCAUCUUUCAUGCAACUGUGACACAGCAAGUCCCUUCUUCUAACCACUGCCAUGACAGCAGGCCACUGGAGAGCUGCUCACUGUAUAAAUAAUCAACACUACUCCGAUAGGACUCUGCUUUCUUCUUUGAUCCCAGUGGUCCUUUUUUAUCAUCACAAACAAGAGACAGAUUCUGGCAGGAAUGUGAUUAGUCAAACAAAACUUUCUUACUCUCCAUGCUACAUUUAAAAGGAAAGAAAGAAUGGAAACACAAAUGUCCUUGGGGAUGGAGUUUGCAACUGUAACUGCAAGCAGUGAGGCAGACAGUGUGUGGAACCAACCUGUCACUAACCAAAUGACAGAGGCAAAUGAUGCCAGCACUGUGCCAGCUGUAAAACCCGAGGACACUUCAGUCAUCAGAGCUCACUUUCUGCCUCUCAUAAGGAUUCCCCUGGGUCCCCAUAUAAGAGCGAUGGUGACUUGAGCUGACAACUAGAGGAAAGCAGGCACCAAAACCAUCUAUGGAGCUGGCUUCAGAGCACUCCUGAAUCAGCCCGGGAGCACUUCCUAACAGCCCCAGAUGACUCUGGUUCUGCUGGACUAGGACAUGUUCUGAAAACCAUGGAACAUGUGGAGACGGUGGGAGAUGAUACAAUCAAGAACAAAAGGACAGAAGAUAUGUUUAAAUGCAGAUGAAAUGCUGAGAUGGCUUACUCUAAAAAAUUAUACCAUUAUCCUUUCUUCUCCAUCCAAAACACUUUACACGUGGAGUACUGCUGCAGAGAACCAAAUCAGGCCAACACCACUUCAUGAAAAAGUCUCCUCAAGAAAUAUAAGCCAGGAUAUCUUCUUUGUCAGAAAGUAAACGGGAAAGUUAAUUAUUUUGUGAUUAUUCUUUUUAUGUGGGAACCCCACAGAAAGGUGACCUUUGAUCGUCUCGAUCCAAAGGAAGAAAGUAGGCAAGCUACUAAGUGGGGUCACCAAGAUGGCCUGUGGGGCAGUGUGCAUCUUUAAAACCCUACUCAUGGCAUCCAAGAGACACUGUUACCAACUCAGCCUGGUAAUGAAAAACUCCAACAAAGAAAAUAAAACACGCAAAGGAAGAUGAAUAUAAAAUGUGAUCUCAAGGCAGAUAUAAGGAUUAGUGAACAUAAAAGGUUUUAAGAAAAAAGACACAUUGACUUCAAGAUUGCUUUGAGGGAAAGAGCACAACCACCGCUCCUUUCCCCUCUGAAUACACGCUGAAGUGACAGCAAAGCCCAGGAACACAGAGCAUGCAGAGAGACCAUCAGGGAUCCCUUGGCAAGGAACCGCUUCUCACCCGGGGCCAUGCAGGCAACGGCCUCCAGCAGUGACAGCUGGGCACAGCCCACCCAGUUAGGGGUUUUCAGACACUGCAUACAACUACCAGGAUGGGGAAGGCAGAUGGUGUGACCAAGGAAGUUCUCCCUCAAGAGGGAGAAUUGUGACUAAGACCUGGAUGAAGACACAUGUGCAGACCUGACUGAGCAGACAUACAAAUAAAAACAUUUCUGGAAACAGUUCAGACAAGGCCCCAGUCCACAGUAUUAUUGUUGGAUGGGAAGCAGAUGUGUCCUGCACAACUCAGGGAAGAUUCUGUACUUGGAAAUGUCAAAUACAAAGACUAUAUUUUGAACUGUGGACCACCACCCACCCCGCUUCCCAAUGCAGUGAGACUACCAGGCUAGACUGGGCUGAAGGUUGGAGGAUUUUUCCCUUAUAAAGAAGCUGAAAGUCCUCAGAGCAAAGACUCCCACGUGCUGGCAUUCAGGGUUCCCCACCAAUGGCCGCUCUCGGCUGGAUCACUCUAAGUAAAGCCACCAGCCUCGGCGCUCUCUGAUCCACGCACACUAGGGCCCCAAGUGGCGCUCUGCAACCUGAGCCUCAAAUGCAAGAGAUAUCAAGGGUCAACUAACCGUUGAGGAAUAUUAACCACAUGAAAGGAAGACUAAGACAAAUCAAUGAAGAGAGUGACUACAAAGAAAACACAGAGAAGAAGAAAGGUAGAAAAACACGAGCAGAAAAGCGGUAUAAAGGAUACCAGUUCAAGAAAUCCGACAUCUGCCUACACUCAGCUUUGGAAAGAGAGAAGUAAAACACAGAAGAGAAAAUCAAGUCUACUUCAAGAGAAUUUUCCACCGACACGGGAUAUAAACUUUGAACUGAAUGGCCUGUAGGUGGUCAGCAAAUCAGUGUGAAACACAAGGAUGAGAAACCCUCCAUUUUUCAGGAAACACAAAACCCCACAGAAUCCACCAUCACAUGAGACCUUCCAUUAGCAAGACUGAUGCCAGAGCACAGUUGAGCAGCCUCACCAAACUCUGAGAGAAAAUCACUUUGAACCUGUAACUUUAGUCCCUGCCAAACUGUAAAGUAUGACAAACGCUUUAUUUUCAGAAAUACAGAACUAGAAAAUUUACCUCUAAGACAGGUUACUUGAGAAUAUUCCGCAGCAAAGUAAGGGAUGAAAUAAUGGAACCCAGAAAGAAACAGAUCCAACCCAGACGAACAAAAAAAGGAAAAUGCAAGAUGAAAAUCAAUCCAAAAUAGAGCAAAGUAUACAAGAGUUGGGGAUGAGUUAUUCAAUAAAAUAAAAAUGGGUUUAAUACCAUUCUGGAGGACACAGAACAAGCAAGCAAUAAAGGCAUACAAAAACAGGAAAAAAGUAAAGACAAAAUAUGUAAGAAAAAACUACUUGAUGAUAAAAUUCUACCAAAUAAAAUGAAGCAGAAUAAAGAUGUCACAAAAGGAUUGUGAUAUAGCUGUGAAAAAAGGACUGUGGUAGCUGACUAUCAAGUCCAUUACAAUAUGUAGUUAAGUAUAAACAACAGUGGGCAUUUUGGCUCGCAAACAGAAAAUAAAUGCUGUAAACAUCAACAAAGUGGUAACAAUAAUGAUGAUGAUAAUGACUGAUAUUAUUAAGAGAGCUUAUAAAUUGAGAGGCUGGUGGGGGAACAAGUAGAAGAGCACUCAUUUCCUAAUUCUUCAUACAGGGAGAUAAUCAAUACUAAUAAAAACUGAAAAGUGAAUGACCAUGUUCUCAGCCCCUACUUAUUUUCAUAAUCUUCUUAUCCCUAAUUUUAAGGGAAAUCUUUUAGAAGCUAGUAUUUCUUUAGGCAAAAGAAAUAUUUGUCUGAAGUUCAAUGAUUCAGAAAUUUCAUUGUGUUUAUUUUUCUUUUUCACCUAAACUUAAAAUAGAUAGUUUUUACUCAGAAUUCAUAGUAUGGGCCCAUAUAUUUAAAAAUCUUUUUAGCAUCUGUUUAUUUAUCAGAAAUAGAUGUCUGGAAUGGUAUACCCCUAAUGCCAACGAUGGUAUUUCUAGACAGUAGAAUUUUAUGUUAGUUUUUGCUCUUACUUAUAUAAUUUUCUGUAUCACUUGACCUAAAAAACAGACAUAUGUAUAUUUCACAACAAUAAGGCCACUUUAAAAAUGUCAUGGAACUUUAAUUAGUUC